AUUGAACGCUGGCGGCAUGCCUUACACAUGCAAGUCGAACGGUAACAGGUCUUCGGAUGCUGACGAGUGGCGAACGGGUGAGUAAUACAUCGGAACGUGCCUAGUAGUGGGGGAUAACUACUCGAAAGAGUGGCUAAUACCGCAUGAGAUCUACGGAUGAAAGCAGGGGAUCGCAAGACCUUGUGCUACUAGAGCGGCCGAUGGCAGAUUAGGUAGUUGGUGGGAUAAAAGCUUACCAAGCCGACGAUCUGUAGCUGGUCUGAGAGGACGAUCAGCCAAACUGGGGCUGAGACACGGCCCGGACUCCUACGGGAGGCAGCAGUGGGGAAUUUUGGACAAUGGGCGCAAGCCUGAUCCAGCAAUGCCGCGUGCAGGAUGAAGGCCUUCGGGUUGUAAACUGCUUUUGUACGGAACGAAAAGCCCUGGGUUAAUACCCUGGGGUCAUGACGGUACCGUAAGAAUAAGCACCGGCUAACUACGUGCCAGCCGCCGCGGUAACAC
rnacentral:rRNA from 1 species